ACUAGGGAUUCCUGAUGCCAUGUAAUAGAAGCUGGGCUGGUUAACACUAACUUGAACUUAAUCUGAACUUCAGGUGUCACAAAUGCCUUAGAAUAACAUGAAGAAGAUUAUUAAAAUAAGUGGGAGAUUGAAAUCUUGGAUUUGAUUUAUCAUAAGUGUCCUGCCACCCAUCCAAAAAUGUAUCCCUAAAGCAGGCCCAGAAAACAUUCCAUUCAUUAGGGCUUUUGAGAUAUACAUUGUAUUCAAAGCUCUGACAUAUUUCAAAAGGGUUGUACUGGUUGUUCUUUGCAGGUUGUUCGAGAAGCUGAAAUAGAAAUCAAUUUCUUGAUUUCAGUAGGAAUAGUGAGUCCCUAAGAGGGGAGAAGCCAGGUGCUGAGCCAGGUGUUCUACAUAAAUUAUCUCAUUUGUUUUUUCUGACAACAUAAUAAGAAAAAGAAAAACAUCCAUUCAUGAGAGUUCAGGGAUACGUGAAAAUGAAGCAAAUGAGGAAAGACCCAUUCACAUUCCUCCAAAAGAUCUGUGGCUCACUGGAAUCAUGUUACUGGCUCCUGGUAGUCCCUGACUUUACCUGUUUGUUCCAGGAACUUGCUUUAUGGCCAUUUGUUCUAAUGAUCAGUUUGGACAACCAACCUUUAUUCCUCCACCUCAGACAAUAUUCAACAUCCUGUAAUCAUCAUAGCGGUGCUGCCUGCUUUCCUUGGCCACCAAGUGGAGGUGUUACCAUCUGGUGGGUCAGAGGAUCCCUUCGUUUGAGGUAGGAUAUGGAAUCGCAUCCACUCUGAUUUGUUGCCAGCAGUGUUCUCCAACUUAAUUAUCCUCUGUGAUCCACACUAAAGUAUUUUGAAGAAUAACAAAGCUCUCCAAGGGUCUUAAUACAGUUCUGGAGGUCAGUAAGUCCAAUAUCAAGGUGCCAGCAUCAGGCAUUAUGGCCAGCACACUUCCUGCGAAUUUGUACCACCACCCCUUAUCUCAUCUAUGCUUCUGCUCACAGCACUGCACUGGAGCCAGGGGAUGGAUACCUGGCACUUGUAUGUCCUAUGAAGAAAGAGAGGAGGAUACAUUGCUUCCCUAUGUAUCCUUAAGGGAUAGACCAGAGGAAAAGUUAAGUAAUAGAUAAACAAUCAAUAAUACCUAAUUGGUUUCCCAAUCAAUUAGCACUUACUGUGUUGGAUUUGUUCACUUUCAGCCAUAGUUACACCUUGAAUUUCUGUAUUUCCAAAGUGGGCUCUUUUUUUUCUAAGGAAUUUCCUCAAUUUUUUCGUGUAAGUAGGCUUCUGAGGAGUCUAUUUCACUGAUUUUUGUGAUAUAUUUAAUCAUUCCAGGGCUACAAAAUUUAAGCUGAAUUUAAAUUAUUCAUAAUAUAACAAUCUCUCUUCCUCUGUCUCUCUUUCUUUCUAUAUCUUUCAUUACAUAUAUGUAAUAAAAUAUUUUCAUUAUAUAUCUGUAUAUCUUUUAUAGAAAUCUUUUCAUUAUAUAUUUCAUAUAUAUUCAUGUAUCUUUCAUACAUU
rnacentral:lncRNA from 10 species